AAAAAAAAUCGAUUCCACAUAAAUUCCACAAAUAACUGAUUCAGGAAUCUCGUGAACUCCGUUAAACUCAUCCAUAAUGAAUGAAAAAAGUCCUGCGUGUUAAAAAAAUCACUAGAGUUUUUCCGAGCUUUUUUCCUGUGGAAUUUUCUAAGAAUGCAAUCAUAAAAAUCUUCGGACGUCUUACCUGUAUCUUUUUGCAGGAAUAUCUGAAUUUUCACGACAUACUGUGUCAGAAAACCAAUCAGAUUGAUUUCUCACGACACAUAUGUAAUAUACAGGUUCCAUUCGAUGUAAUUGCCGAACCCUUAAGGGUUCUCAAUCGAUGAGUGAUAAACAUGUACUCUGGUAUAAAUAAAGUUUAGUUCAAUUAUGAUCAAGCUCAAACUCGGUCGUCUUACUCUUGCUCUAAGAAAAUGUCUUUAAAGGAUUUUAUCUCGUUUAUAACAGUGUCGACGAGGAGAAAUUUUUCUACAAUAAUUCCGCUUUUUUUGCGCCCGCCAGUGAUUUUCUAAUCUUUUGGUGAUAUUUUUCUUACCAGCCACUUUUUGUCUGCCAUAGGAUUUGGUUUGCUAUACCAAAGGAUCAAUUGUAGUUGCCGAGAGGUGAAAUCCAAAAAAAAAUCAACAAAGCUAGUGUGUAUUUGCUUUUCGAUAAGUAGAACCCGUAAAACUGACUGCCGAUGGUACCUGCAUAAAGUCUUCAUCAACCAAGACCAUAUGAUGAUUCGACGAUUCUUGAAUGAUUUUGAUUGCUUUGUUUUGCGGCUGCUGAAUUUUUCACCGAUAUUACUCGUGACCUGAAGAAACAACUGUUUAGUUAAUUUACCAACUAUGUUGCGCAACACCUCCUGCCUGGAUGCAGUUGUAUUUUAUUAUUUACGAGGAGGCGAAGGAAAAGAUGUUCUAUUCAAGCUUGGAGAGUCGGCGAUCAACCAAUAUUAGUGUGGCAAGGACGUAGUAGUGAUCAAUCAACUCGGAAGCAGUAUUCGGCUGAUGUCCAGCUGUGACGAUCAUGACAUCGAACCUUCGGGGAGGCGAAUACCACUGGAAUCGAGCAUUUCAUUGCGUUUCUGAAAAUAAUUGGUUAGGAGCAAGCGUAGUGUUUAUGUUGCUAAUGGGGAAAUUGUGAAAUAACGUGUAAAAUUAGGUUUCAGAGCUUCAAAAGCUUAACUGUUCAGUGUUUUGUUACUUGUUUUAUACCUAACGUCAACGAAUUUCUCUCGGAAAUUAAGUAGCCUUAAGGAAAUUAAAUUCAACUUCGAAUUGAGAAAUGUUUAAUCUAAAGGGGGAAGGAAUUGUAAUAUACAGGUUCCAUUCGAUGUAAUUGCCGAACCCUUAAGGGUUCUCAAUCGAUGAGUGAUAAACAUGUACUCUGGUAUAAAUAAAGUUUAGUUCAAUUAUGAUCAAGCUCAAACUCGGUCGUCUUACUCUUGCUCUAAGAAAAUGUCUUUAAAGGAUUUUAUCUCGUUUAUAACAACAUACAGUCUACAAAACCAAUGACUAUUUUUACGAAAUUCUAUUAACCCUCAAAAGGAUACCUUACAAAAAGGUCCGCGUUGGGACCCUGGGGUCCAUUGGACCCCAACAUAUAUUCUCGCGUAUCUCGUGAUCCUUACUUUUUAAAAGGUUGAUGUUUUCAGCAAAGAUGUUCGGUAAGUCAAGGCCUAUCUAGUGAUGAACAAUUUAUUUUAGGAAAUAUCCGAUAGUUGGCGCUAGAGAGCAUUCCAAAACGCCCCUAAUCAAUGGGAUGUAACAUACCAAAGCAAGCGGACAAGACGCACAUAACAAAAGAAUAAAUCACACUUCUGUAAAUGGGUAGACAUAAAUGUCCGGCAGCUCAAAAGGGUUCGUUCAAAUAUUACGUAACGCUAGGGGAGUGUCUAGCGCUGUAUUACGCUUUAUAAAAAAAACAUAAUUUACCACACAAAAGUUUUUACGUGGAGUAGGGAGGAGUUCUGAAAAUGUCAAAUUUUGCGUUACGUAUUAUUUGAAUGAACCCAAAGAGACAUCACAGACAAACAGACAUAUCAUUGAUAAAAUAACAUCUCAUAUAUCGCAAGAUCCUGAUUACUUAUAAAGUUGGUGUCUUCGGCAAAGUUGUUUGAUUGGUGAAGGGGCGCUAGUGAGUAUACAAAUUUUGUAUCUCAUAUAUCUCAGGAUUCUGAUUACUUAGAAAGUUAGUUUUGUUCGGGAGGCCAAAUAUUUAUUUGAUUCGGAACUUUGGCAUAGGCUGGUGCUAAUGAACAAUUUUUUUACAUUUUAUAUCUGUUGUACAUCGGAAUACUUAUUAUUUACAGAGAUGGUGUCUACGGCAAAGUUUUUGGCAGGCAUGGGGCUAAAAUAUAUAGACACUAUAGAAUUGACAGGCUUACGGAUACAUAAUUGAGUGAUGAAAUUGUUAUGUACAGUUUAUAUUUUAGAAGAAUCUCGGGAGAAAUUCCUAGAAGAAUCCCGAGAGGCAUUCCUAGAGCACUCCCAGAUGGAAUUCCUGUAAGAAUUCCUGGGGGAAUGUUGGGAGAAAAUCUUAGAAGAAUCCCAGGAGAAAUUCCAAGAGGAAUCUCAGCAGGAAUUCCUGUAGGGAACGCGGGAGGUUCCUGGAAGAACCCCGAAGGAUUUCUUAGAGGAAUCCCGGGAGCACUACUGGUAUGCACUACGGGAUUCUUAAAUGAAUCCCGGGAGGAAUUUCUGGAAAAAAAAAUGCGGAUUCCAAGUGCAUUUUCUAGUUUCUAGAUGAAGCCCUGGAGGAACCUUUGGAGAAUCAUUGAAAGAUUCCCUGUAUUAAUUUCAAAUCAGAGUUAAUUGAAAUUGAAAACUUACAUUCAUAUGAGUAAUUCCGUCGAAGACAUCAACUCCGAAUAUUUUCUCUCGAUCGAGACAUCAACGUAACAAAAGUACAGGGGAUGGCCAAAAUGUUUGGGAUAGGUAACUUUUUUUUCUCUCACAAAAAAAUUCAACAAGCUAUAACUUUUCAUAGAGCGCAUCAAAAAAUCUCAAAUUUUGACUGCUUGUCAACCUAUUAUGUGUGCAUCAUUGGUACAAAUUUGGGCUCGAUUGAUUAAUAUUUCGCAAAGUUAGAACCGUUCGCGUAAAACACUAUUUUUCAGACAACUCAUUUUUGAGGUGUCAUAUCUCGGAAACCAGCGAACCGAAUUGAAUGAAAUUUUGAACGUACACUAACAAUAUGUAAAUGCUUCACAAACUAUUAAAACAUACACACUUAGAAUAAAUUACAGUAUUCGGUGAAAAAAAUCACCGAAACUGGUCUGUAAACAAGCAAACUACAGUAUUACGGCGAAAUCGAUGAAAUUGCAGGAGAAAAUCGGUGAAAUCUAAGAAAUCACCGAAGAACCGGUGAAAUCAGACAAAUUUACAGGGCCCCUGUGAAUAUUUUACCGAACAGAUCGGUGAUGGGACUAUUUUACCGUACUACUGUAAAAUGCGUUUGACAGCUACGCCGGCAGCUUCGAGCAUCAGUUCUAUUACAAUUUGCGCAUCAUCUCCAAGCAAGACUCUCUUGUCCAGUGGCAGCAAGUGUGGUUCCUGAUCAGAAGGCCAUGUAUUCAAUCCCAUAAUCGACGUUUUUUAUGAAAAUAUUGUUUUUUUGUGCUCGCAAAAAAUCGCCGUAAAUUUGUAAAAUUUACCGUACGUUCAGUGAUAUUGAGAAUUCAUUUGUAAACAAACAUACCGAACGUUCUGCGAUUUUUACGGUAAAUUUGUAAAAAGUACCGAAUGUUCCGGUAAUUUUGACAGUUGCAUUUUCCUGAGAUUCGCAGUACGUUCGGUGGUUUGAAAAAUCACCGAACUUUUUACCGUACGUUCAGCUGUUGAGAUUACGGUAAAAUUUUACCGUAAUCCGUCAUUUUUUCUAAGUGUGUAGGUACUUUUUAAACGUUGAAAAAAGUUAUCAUGGAUUGACACUUUUUGGAUUUUCCUCGAAAAAAUGUAUUUUUUUUACGUCAAUGUCAAUAAAUUUUAGUGUUGAUAUCCAAAGAUUUUCCAUUUCUGUUCUCAAGUUAUCUCUAAUCAGAUAUAUUAGAGCCUAUUAAGAUUGAAGGAAGAACACAUUUAGUAAUUUUUGGGUGGUAUUGUAAAUUUGACUUAUUUUCCUCUAUAUGGGUAAAAAUUUCAAUCCGGUAUAACUUAAUUCGCCGUGAGAAAAUAUAACAUUUCAUAACGUCGUAUUGAGU